UACGGAGGGGGCCAGCGUUGUUCGGAAUUAUUGGGCGUAAAGGGCGCGUAGGCGGCUUAACAAGUCACUUGUGAAAUCUCCGGGCUUAACUCGGAACGGCCAAGUGAAACUGUCAAGCUAGAGUGCAGAAGGGGCAAUCGGAAUUCUUGGUGUAGCGGUGAAAUGCGUAGAUAUCAAGAGGAACACCUGAGGUGAAGACGGGUUGCUGGGCUGACACUGACGCUGAGGCGCGAAAGCCAGGGGAGCAAACGGG
rnacentral:rRNA from 1 species